CCUACGGGUGGCAGCAGUGAGGAAUAUUGGUCAAUGGACGAGAGUCUGAACCAGCCAAGUAGCGUGAAGGAUGACUGCCCUACGGGUUGUAAACUUCUUUUAUAUGGGAAUAAAAUAGGUUAUGCAUACCCUAUUGUAUGUACCAUAUGAAUAAGGAUCGGCUAACUCCGUGCCAGCAGCCGCGGUAAUACGGAGGAUCCGAGCGUUAUCCGGAUUGAUUGGGUUUAAAGGGAGCGUAGGUGGUUUGUUAAGUCAGUUGUGAAAUAUUGCGGCUCAACAGUAAAAUUGCAGUUGAUACUGGCAGUCUAGAGUACGGUAGAGGUAGGCGGAAUGCGUGGUGUAGCGGUGAAAUGCAUAGAUAUCACGAAGAACACCGAUUGCGAAGGCAGCUCGCUAGGCUGCAACUGACACUGAUGCACGAAAGUGUGGGUAUCGAACAGGAUUAGAUACCCCAGUAGUC
rnacentral:rRNA from 1 species